ensembl:lncRNA
GCUUUAUAUGCAUCAUGCCAUCCAAUGAGGACAACUCUGUGAGAUGGAAAAUGAACACUGAAAACCUCGAUUUAUCUAAGCCUGGACAGUCGGGUGUCCAAGCAAAGCAAGAGCCCAUGUGGCCAGCACUUUUCCCACCGGAGGUCAGGAAGCAGAAACCCGGGAUUGCCUCUCUCCAUCUGGCAACUGAGGCCACCACACCUCGGCAAUAAGGAAGUCAUAGGGACUGGUCUUGGAGAUACGUUCACAUGAGUGAGCCAAGGUGGCGUACAAGGAAAUUCAUUGCAGCAUCUGAGAAAGCAAACAGCCAGAAACGGUCUACAUGUCCAUGCACGGAAGAUUGGCUAAAUGAAUUUAUGGUCUAGCCUAAAGCAGGAUGUAUGCUGCUACUAAAAAGUAGAGCAAAGUUCUAUGCAUUGACAUGGAAAGAUCUCCAAGAU